UCAGAGGCAGUCCUCUGGGGAAACUGCACUGAUAGCAAUCGUGGCCAGUAAUCCGUAUAUUGACUGCCUUGAUGCUCUCCUCGUUCUCCUGCUGCUUCCAUGUUUUGGGCGGAGUAUUCUGUCACGCCCGUAAUACAUAAUCAUAAUCAUAAUCAUGAUAACAUAAUCAUUGUUAAGUGCUGGAGACUGACACCAAUCUAGACACCCUCGAACAACAGCCAAUGACAGAACGGGGAAGAGACAGAACAGAAACAAAACAAAUGUACAUGUCCACAGUAAACAAUGUCACAGUUGUCAACAUCCGUAGAGCAUGCGCUCGCUGAGCACUCGUGACAUAAACCCCCACAAGGGCACACCUCCCGGAGCACCUCAAAAUAGUCCUCUCCAAUGGCAGUCCUGGCCCCCUGGGCAAAAUGUCCCCAGCUGAACCAGGAGACUGCACAGCAUCCUCAGUGGAACAGAAAAGCAAAACAAUGUACUCAGCAGAACAGAAAAACAGAGCGACGCCAUGAGCGGAGCAGGAAAGCAGAGCGAUGUCCUCAGCGGAGCAGGAAAGCAAAGCGACGUCCUCAGCGGAGCAGGAAAGCACGACGUCCUCAGUGUCACAGUUGUCACAGUUGUCAACAUCCGUAGAGCAUGCGCUCGCUGAGCACUCGUGAAUGUAGCUUGUGCAUGCGCCCGCCCUCUCAUCUCUCUGAGCGUGCUGCCAGAAGGGGAGAUUGUGACACAUCCAUUGUAGAGGUGAAGUAAUCUGUCAUGUGGUGGAAAUUGCAGGUAUGCAUGCUAAAAACUGUGUUUAUUAAAUAAUCCAGACAGAAAAAUCCAAAGGGUUUAUAAACAAUAAACAGGCAAUGGUCAGGUCAUGAACAAUCAGGCUAAACUAGAGAAGGUACAAAACUGAAUCAAAGGGCAGAAACAAGGUUUAAAACAGUGAAAGGCAAAGACGAGAAAAUCAAGGUUUGGUACCAACAGAACACAAGGUAACUGAGCAUAUACUACACCCCAAACAAAGGCGCACAAUGGUUUUAAAUCCUAAGCACAAUCAAGUGGAUAACACAAAACAGCUGAGACAUUAGGAAAAAAUCAAUAGCAUGACGGGGUGAAGACAGGACAGAAACCAAAACAAAACACACAUGCCACAAGUAAACAAAGUUACUGUCAUGACAACCAGUGUAACUCUACAAGUAACUUUACAAGUUACUCAAAAAAGUAAUCCACUACAUAUUACUAAUUACUUCUUUAAAAUUGUAAUCUGAUUACAUUACUAAUUACGGCAUGUAAAAAGUAAACCGAUUACCAAUUACUUUACUUUCACGUUACUUUCAAAGCCUAUCAAACCUACUGUGACGCCACAGCCGGCAGAGGUCACUGCGGCACAGCUUCCAACAAGACACGUGACACUAUUGUUUUGGUUUCCUUCUCUUCCUGCUUGGACAUUGGCUGGAUGUACGAGGGUGUAGCUUAAUUUGAGCCAGGUGUUUAUGUUUAGUGUAAUUAUGUUGGCUAUUUAAACCCCUUGUGUGGCUGCACACUUCGUGCAGUAUUAUCAGUUGCAGCAUUAGUAACAUUUGUAGUGUUUAGCAUGUGUGUUAGUUCAGUAGUGAAUGCGGGUAGUAUGCUAGCGGUCUCAUGUCCCUGUUACGUUCCCGAGUAAUGCCUAGACCAUAGUCCUGUUCAACCUAGACCGCGUUUCUUGUGUUUGUUUGUUUGCUUCUUUGUUUAUUAAUAAAGACAGCGCUCCUGCGCUUACAGCUAUUUUUAGUCAUUUUAGAGCUAUAUCUAACCGACCAUUUUUAAUUAAAACUUUAGAAAAAGCUGUUUUUAUUCAGCUUCAUGAUUUUCUUAUUUUGAAUAAUGUCUGAAAAAUUCCUAUCAGCCUUUUGAGACCACCAAUGUCAGAAUUUUAAAUGAUGAGCUAAGUGCCAGUUCCAAUCACAUUUCCAAUUCCACAUUUCUUAUUUGACCUGAGUACAGCUUUUGAUACUGUAGACCAUGAUACUUUUCUACACAGACCUGAACAUUGGGUAGGACUCUCAGAAGCCAUGCUAAGCUGGUUUAGGCCAUACUUGUGUGGUAGACAGAUUUAGGUUAAAUAGGGAAGUCACACAUGAAGACAAUAUGAUUUCAUUUGGAAUUCCACAAGGAUCCAUUUUAGGACUUGCUUUUCUCACACGACAUGUUACCUCUUGGUAGACAUGAAGUUUUCAUAGUUAUGCAGAUGACACAAAACUUUAUAUAUCAAUGUCAACGGGUAAUUAAGAGCCAAUUAACAAAUUAGUUACAUGCUUGAAUGAAAUAUCUAACUGGAUGUCACAGACCUAUCUACAGUUAAACCAGGAUAACUGUAGGAGAUAAACAAAAAAGAGAAUGCCUAUUUAACAAGAUCAGUUCUCUCUCUUUAUUGAUCAAAACACGGGCUAGAAAUCUGGGUGUAAUAGUUGACUUUGAUGUCAGAUUUUUUCCUCACAUUAACAAUAUCUCUAAGGUUGCGUUUUAUUAUUUGAAGGACAUUGCAAAAGUUCAUCCAGUUCCUUUUAGCAGAAGGCGCUUUGUGAAACUGCUUUUAGUAUCCAUGCUCCCAGGAUGUGGAACUCACUCCCAGCCUAUAUCCAUCAGUCACCGUCACUAAAUAUAUUUAAAAAGCAGCUUAAAACACAUUUAUUUACCUUGGCUUUUAAUUAGUCCUCUUGUUUUUUUGCAUAAACUGCUUAUCUCUUAAUGAUUUUCGUCGUAUUUUAUAUUCUGUUUGAUUACUUAUUUUUUAUUUCUUAAAGACUUUUUAACUUUUAAUAUAACAUUUUUAUGUUGUCUUGCAUUAUUAUUGUUUUAUUAUUAUUUUAUCAUUUUAUUAUAUCUUUUUGUCACGAUUUCCCCUCGAGCUAGCGCUUUAGGGUCUUCAGUGACAUUGAUUACUUCAGUGACAGUAUUUACUUUCUACACUCGCUUUUGCUAUGGUUUAUGUCCUGUCUCCGCCUCUGAAUUGUCAUUGGUUGUUUCCCGUAGGUGUGCCAUCAUUGUUCUCAGCUGUCUUGUGUUUCACCCCUGAUUACAUUUGUCAUUUAAACCCCUUGUGUCUCUUUACUAAUGUUAUCACACUAACAAGCAUUUAUACGUUGUUCCUCGAUUUGUUUCAUGGUCCUUGUUCUUAUUUCUCUGUCUCGAUUCUUGCCUUGCCUAGUUUAUGCCUGUUUGUAGGUUGCCUGACCCAUUGCCUGUUUUUUUUCGAACACGCUAUUGUCUCAUGAUUUGGACUUGUCUGCCUGCCUCUCUUUAUUAAAAGCUCUUUCUGCACUUGCAUCCAUACGAACCUUCAUUACGAGGAGUACAUGACACUUUUCAAUUGUGAAUUACUUUGAGCUGAAUUUUCUGUAUGAAAGAUGCUAUAUAAACAAGAACAGCAACAACAACAAAAACAAUAUUAAUAAUAAUUAUUAUUAUUAUUAUAAUUAUUAUUACUACUACUACUAUUACAAAGCCUUAAAGAUGUUGCUUUGUUUACAUUUGUGAGCCAUUGUUUUUUGCCUUGAUUCCUUGCCUCUUUGUUUACCUGUUUGGAUUACCAUCUGGAUUUUGGAAACUGUCACUUAUUGUAUAUCGAUCUCUGCUAAUAAAGAAAAAACAUCUAGUUAGUUGCAGUUUCUGCUGACAGAAAUGCCUUGAGAGAGGUCAAUGGAGAAUGGCCAGACUGCUACGAGCUGGCAGAAAGGCUAUAGUACCUCAGAUAACCACUUUAUACAAUUGUGAUAAGCAGAAAAGCAUCUCAGAAUGCACAACAUGUCGAACCUUGAGAUGGAUGGGCUACAACAGCAGAAGGCCGGUUCCACUUCUGUCAGCCAGGAACAGAAAACUGAAGCUGCAGUGGGCACAGGUUCACUAAAGACCUGUUCACAUGAAAUACGGUCUGUUUAACGGCCCAGUGGCUGUCAGUGAGAGUGUUCACAUGCAGGCUUAAAAUGCUUGGUGUCAAAGCAGCAAAUUGUUUCAACGUCAAGGGAUUCGGGUUUUUUGAUACACCGUGUCAAAAAUUGGCCGACCAAUGAGAUUCGCACUUUUGUUCAUGUGGCUGGAUCCGCUCAAGUUACAUAAAAUCACGACUUGAUAGCACUCAAAUAUAAAACUGUCUUACCGACGAAGAAGAUGCCAGCACCCACCAUUUUAGUGAGAAUGUAUAAUAGAGUUACAUAUAAUGCUCACUGCUAAUAAAUCCUUCUGUUUACACACAUAAACAAGGUAUCAUUUGAAAGCAUCAGAUUCAAAUAAAUAACUAAAUAAGUGUAUUUAUUAUGUUGUGGCUAUUUUUGUUUUGAUGACAGUGAAAUGCAAGCAUAUACACUAAAUAUAUUUUCAAUGAGGCUAUUAACAUGAAAUUUUCACCAGACAUCAGUAUUAACUCAAGAACUCUGCAAAUGUAAACAGUAAAUUCCAUAAAUAAAAAUAGGUAGAAUAAUGUGGAAUGACACAGGAAAAAAGUAUUGAACAUGCUAACUGAAAUUUAUUUAAUACUUAUUGGAGAAGCCUUUGUUUAUAAUGCCAGCUGGAAGAUGCUUCCUGUAUGAAGAAAUUAAUCGGCCGCAGUAUUCAGGUGUGAUUUGGCCCAUUCUUCUAAACAUAUUGUCUUUAAAUCUUGUUCAGUUGGAUUCAAGUCAGGUGAUUGACACCUUGAGUUUCCUUUACUGUAUGCUUUGGAUCGUUGUCCUCCUGGAAGGUCCACCCAUGUCUCAUCUUCACCCACUAUAUUCUAAAUGAUCCAUUUAAUUCUUUCAGUAUUGAUUUCUACACCAAAUAGCAUUGUUUGUUUCUUUGUCUCUUCCCUGCACUGUAAAAAUUGAUUUUGAGUUUUAGUUGUUCCCAAGUAAAUUUUUAAGUUAACACAACAAAUUUUUUUUUUUUUUUUAGUUUUUCAGUCAACUUAAUAUGUUAAACUUUCACUGUCGCAACUAGUUUGUAAAUUGAAUUACCAACAGUAUCGGUCACCUCAACUUAAAAGCAUAUGUUGAAUCAAUACAAUAAUGAUGCUCUAAACAUUUUAUUGCGAGAUCUCACGUGAAGCGCGAAGCAGAAGGAAGACUGCGUAGUGAUGUGUUGUUCAUGACGAUUCGUUCAUUUUCAACAAAUCUUUAAUAUGAUUCGGGAACAACGAGUUGUCUCAGAGAGUGACUCGUUCAUUUUUGACCGUGCAUGCGCAGCAACGUCCCCAUAGGUUAUGUACCGGAAACAGAAAUGGUUAGUUCACCUCUGGAGUCUUUGGUUCGAGUCGUUCGUUCAUCACUUCACAGCCCCACUGUGAAAGGGGGGCAGUCACGUGAUGAACGAAAAUGAAAAUGUCCAAAUUGGGCCCAAAGUGUCAAUAUUUUGUGUGGCCAACAUUAUUUUCCAGCACUGCCUUAACCCUCUUGGGCAUGGAGUUCACCAGAGCUUCACAGGUUGCCACCGGAGUCCUCUUCCACUCCUCCAUGACAACAUCACGGAGCUGGUGGAGGUUAGAGACCUUGUGCUCCUCCACCUUCUGUUUGAGGAUGCCCCACAGAUGCUCAACAGGGUUUAGGUCUGGAGACAUGCUUGGCCAGUCCAUCACCUUCACCCUCAGCUUCUUUAACAAGGCAGUGGUCGUUAUCAUCCUGGAAUACUGCCCUGCGGCCCAGUCUCCGAAGGGAGGGGAUCAUUCUCUGCUUCAGUAUGUCACAGUACAUGUUGGCAUUCAUGGUUCCCUCAAUGAACUGUAUUACCAGUGCCGGCAUCACUCAUGCAGCCCCAGACGAUUACACUCCCACCACCAUGCUUGACUGUAGGCAAGACACAUUUGUCUUUGUACUCCUCACCUGGUUGCCGCCACACACGCUUGUCACCGUCUGAACCAAAUAAGUUUAUCUUGGUCUCAUCAGACCACAGGACAUGGUUCCAGUAAUCCAUGUCCUUAGUCUGCUUGUCUUCAGCAAACUGUUUGCAGGCUUUCUUGUGCAUCAUCUUUAGAAGAGGCUUCCUUCGGAGAUGACGGCUGACUCCCCACCCCUUUAAUCUCUGCAGCACCCCUUUAAUCUCACACAUCUAUUUCCAAAAGACAACCUCUGGAUAUGACGCUGAGCAUGUACACUCAACUUCUUUGGUCGACCAUGGCGAGACCUGUUCUGAGUGGAACCUGUCCUGUUAAUCCGCUGUAUGGUCUUGGCCACCAUGCUGCAGCUCAGUGUCAGGGUCUUGGCAAUCUUCUUAUAGUCUAGGCCAACUUUAUGUAGAGCUACAAUUCUUUUUUUCAGAUCCUCAGAGAGUUCUUUGCCAUGAGGUGCCAUGUUGAACUUCCAUUGACCAGUAUGAGGGAGUGUGAGAGCGAUGACACCAAAUUUAACACACCUGCUCCCCAUUCACACCUGAGACCUUGUAACACUAACAAGUCACAUGACACCGGGAAGGGAAAAUGGCUAAUUGGGCCCAAUUUUGGCAUUUUCACUUAGGGGUGUACUCACUUUUGUUGCCAACGGUUUAGCAAUUAAUGGCUGUGUGUGGAGUUAUUUUGAGGGGACAGCAAAUUCACAAUGUUAUACAAGCUGUACACUCACUACUUUACAUUGUAGCAAAGUGUCAUUUCUUCAGUGUUGUCACAUUAAAAGAUAUAAUCAAAUAUUUACAAAAAUGUGAGGGGUGUACUCACUUUUGUGAGAUACUGUGUAUAUAUAUAUAAAUUUGGUGAGAAAUGGUGAGAAACUAUUACUUUGGUCCUGAUCUUGCUUGUGUACACUGUUUAUUACAUUUUUGAAUGUCUUUUUUUUCUUUUCUUCAUAAAAUUACUUCAGGCACUGAAGUAACUUUGUCUUUUUUGUCAUAUCCAAUAUGAAAAAAAAAUAUUAAACUUGCAUUUUUAGUUCUUUUACCAUAAGUGUAACUUUAUGGACUUGGCUACAUUGUACACCAGUGCUGUAGUACUUUGGAAUGGAACCUUAUGAUAUUUGACCGGCACUGUGAAACUUCAGAUGACUUUUUUUUGCAGUGUUGUUUAACAUGUUUCUGUUAUGUUUGUUUGAUGUUUUGUAAUGACUGAUGAUCAGCGCAGAAUUCAUCAGACUGGUGUCGAUGGACCUGAGCAAGUCCUUUCAUGAGGGUCUUGACAAACAUGUCUCAAAGCUGCUGUAUUUGUACCGCUCAAGGCGCUAUGCAGACAUCGCAGAAAUGAGUGCCAUACUGGAGAGCCUGGAUAAAAAUAGGGUUGCAGUACUGCUGGGGCUGCCACUGUACAUGCAUGGGGAAUCCAUCUCAGUUUCUUAAAGAUCUGUGGGCACACAGAUUGUGAAGAAGAUUUAAUCAAGGGCAUGACUGUUGGAAUCAUUACAGUUGUGGAUGAUGUCAUGGACCCUAUUCCGUGUGACUGCAAUGGUGUAGCUCUUGUAAUCGAAGAAGUUGUAUGCAAUCUUGGUGAUGUACCAAAUGCAUUGUCAACUUGAUGGGAUUGCUUUAAGCACUUAACAUAAACUACCCCAAAAACUUUAUACACCUUUGAGGUCAUUCAGAGGCUGUUCAUGAACAUUGGAGCUAAUGCCUGCAGUGUACGAGUACAUUCACUUAAAAAUAAACUGCUGAAGUAGAGAUGGGUGUUAUGAAUUUCUUGUAAGAGAAAAUGUAAAAAUGUAAUUUAAUUUAUUUUUUAUAAUUGUAAUAGAUUUUUGUUUACUCAAAUUGAUUUUACCACAAUAUUAAAUUUUAAACCUUUUGCUUAAAGAGUUAAAAGAAACACUGGCUAUUGUAGCUCUGGAUAUUUGAACCUGUUUGACUUGUUCUGUUUACAUUUGUAAAUUUAUAAGGGAAACAAUUGAUAAAGUCUUUCAUAUGGAAAAAUGGGUUAUUUAUUUGGUUGAACUUGCUAAUGUAAGUUAGGAAAAUAAGCCAGAUUAAGUGCUACGGCAGCACAUAUAUUGAGAUUGGAACGAUACAGAGAAGAUUAGCAAGUUACAUUAACUCGAAUUUUAGUACAGACAACUUGAAAAAGUUAAGUUCACCUUACUUUUUAUAACAGUAUUUCAAUUGAACUUGGGAAGCCUGCAUUACUUGAAAUGAGUAGUUCAAUUAGUAGUUCAAUAGGUCAAUUAUUUAAUUGUGUCAACAAAACUUUUUAAGUUGAAAUGACUUUUUUUUUUUGUAUUUUACAUAAAUACAAUGUACAGUAACUGAGUCAAAGCAAAAAGACAACUCAAUAAGUUAAGUUGAGUGAACAAUUUUUUUUUUACAAUGUGCAAAGUAUAAUCUGCUGAUUGAUAAUCCAUUGUGUUUAUUUUGCAUCUGGCAUAUACAUGCAUCUAAGUUUUCUUGACCUCUUAUUGAAAUAGCUAAGUGCCCCAUAACUGAGUUGUUGUAUUAUCAUGUCAGAAACAGAAAAUUGUGCAGCGUCACCUUGGGUAUUUCUGCUUUUCAAUAAGCAUCAUCUACUGUCAAGACUGGAAAAACAUAGUCUGUUCUGAUGGAUCUCGAUUUCUGCUGAGGCACAUAGAUGGUACAGUGGUGCUUGAAAGUUUGUGAAGCCUUUAGAAUUUUCUAUUUCUGCAUUCACACAAUUUCUAAAAGUAGAUAAAGAGAACUCAAUUAAACAAAUGAGACAAAAACUGUUACACUUGGUCAUUUAUUUAUUGAGAAAAAUGAUCCAAUAUUACAUACAGUUCUCUCCACUGAUAUUGGCAACCUUGGUAAAUAUUAAGGCUGUGAAAAAUUAACCUUUGAUCUGUUGUUCAAAAAAUUCUUUAUUACUUGUAUAAAAGACAGCUUGUAGCCAGAAAUCUUUCUGAUUGAGAGGGGUUCAAAUACUUAUUUCCCUCAUUAAAAUGCAAAUCAAUUUAUAACAUUUUUGACAUGCGUUUUUCUGGAUUUUUUUGUUGUUAUUCUGUCUCUCACUGUUCAAAUAAAUCUACCAUUAAAAUUAUAGAAUGAUCAUUUCUUUGUCAGUGGGCAAACGUACAAAAUCAGCAGGGGAUCAAAUACUUUUUUUCCCUCACUGUAACUGAGUCAAAGCAAAAAGACAACUCAAUAAGUUAAGUUGAGUGAACAUUUUUUUUUUUUUUACAAUGUGCAAAGGAUAAUCCGCUGAUUGAUAAUCCAUUGUGUUUAUUUUGCAUCUGGCAUAUACAUGCAUGUAAGUUUUCUUGACCUCUUAUUGAAAUAGCUAAGUUACCCAUAACUGAGUUGUUGUAUUAUCAUGUCAGAAACAGAAAAUUGUGCAUCGUCACCUUGGGUAUUUCUGCUUUUCAAUAAGCAUCAUCUACUGAUGGAUCUCGAUUUCUGCUGAAGCACAUAGAUGGUACAGUGGUGCUUGAAAGUUUGUGAAGCCUUUAGAAUUUUCUAUUUCUGCAUUCACACAAGUUCUAAAAGUAGAUAAAGAGAACUCAAUUAAACAAAUGAGACAAAAACUGUUACACUUUGUCAUUUAUUUAUUGAGAAAAAUGAUCCAAUAUUACAUACAGUUCUCUCCACUGAUAUUGGCAACCUUGGCAAAUAUUAAGGCUGUGAAAAAUUAACCUUUGAUCUGUUGUUCAAAAAAUUCUCUCAUGGAUAUCAAACAAUUACAAACACAGCAUAGGCUUAUUAAAAAAAAAAAAAAAAAAAAAAACAUUGUCAAAUAUAUGUGUGGCAGAAUUAUUGUCAUCCCUAUGAAUUCAUAUCAGAAAAUAUAUUUAAAGUAUAUUUCCAUUGAUAUUUUAUAUUUUUUUGUACACCUGGUUGACUAGGGACAGGAACUAGAUCGGGCUCUAUGGUCCGAUGAAACCAAAGUAGAGCUUUUUGACAAUAAACAUCAGAGGUGGUUUGGUGCACACAGAGGUAGCCAUAUGGAAAAGUACCUCAUGCCCAUGGUUAAAUAUGUUUGUGGCUCAUUUGGGGGCUGUUUUUCUGCCAGAAGACCUGGACAUUUCAUUAGGAUACAUGGCAUCAUGGACUCUAUCAAAUAUCAACAGAUAUUAAAUGAACACCUGACUGCCUCUGCCAGAAAGCUUAAAAAGGACCAUGGUUUGAUCUUCCAGCAGGACAAUGAUCCAAAACGUAAAUUAAUAUUAACACAAAAAUUGUUUACUGACCACAAAAUCAAGGUCCUGCCAUGGCCAUCUCAGUCCCCUGACUCUCAUGACUCCCACCAGUUUGGACCUCACUAUUUGAAGGAUCUGGAGAGAUUCUGUAUGACAGAAUAGUCUUAGAUACUUUUCCAUGUAUUCUCCAAGCUCAUCAUUCAUCAUGCAUUAUAGGAGAAUACUCAGAGCUGUUAUCAAUCCAAAAGGAAGUAGCACAAAGUAUUGACUAAAAGGGUGCGAAUAAUUGUGCCACACAAAUAUUUAACAAAGUUGUUUUUUUAAAAUAAACUUGUGUUGUGUUUGCAAUUGUUGAUUUCCAUGAGAGCAGAGUUUUUUGUGAUUUUUUGUACAAAAGAUCAAAAGGUUAAACAAUAAAGACAGCUUUUUCACAGCCUUCUUUGCUCAUAUUUACCAAGGGUGCCAAUAUUAGUGGGCACUGUAUCUGUGAGUGGCAAAAGUAUGUGAACUUUGGCUUUCAGUAUCUGGUUUGACCCCCUUGUGUAUAACUGCAACUGAAUGUUUCUGAUAGCUGUUGAUCAGUCAACAGUCCAUGCACAUCUGCUUGGGUGAAUUUUAGCCCAUUCCUCACUACAGAACAGCUUCAACUCUGGAAUGUUGGUGGAUUUCUUCAAUGAGAAAGUUCAUGAAGUGUUUUAAAUAAUUUUCUGUUAUGCCGCUUCAUUAUUGUAAGGAAGAACAUUGAAGAAUUCAAAGAUGCAAUUAUUACCAAAAGUAAUACUGUUUCUGCUUCCAAGGCCUGUGAAAAAAAGCCAACCAUGUAAAUAUAUAUGUUGUACAUAUUAUUUAUUACAUAUUGAACAUAUUAUGCACCAGAUGAAGACCAAAUAUUAAAAGAAAAAUUUAAAAGCAAAGUGAAGUAUUUGCUAAAGUGUUUUAAGUAACAAUAAUGUUCUUGCUGCUUCCUUGUCUGAUAAACUUUAGAAUAAAUAGUCUAGUGAUCUAGAUUCCCUAUGGCUAAAAAAAAAGAAAAGAAAAAAAGGCAGACCUCUUCAUGUAGAUUUCAUAUCAGCUGAAGAAUUGGCCCUGAUCAAUAAUCAGUGAUGUCCAUAAGGGAGUAGCUGGGGGCACAUCUGAAGACCCUGGCUGCUCCAACAUACAGAAUCAUAGUCGUUUAUGGUAGGUGAGAAUGAGAGAUUAAAACCACAAUGGGCCCCUGGGCAUUGACCGCCCCAGUAAUCUCACCAGAUUCAAGCACACAUGAGAAGCUACUGCAACUACUAUGUGAGUAACUGUGGAAUGUCUUGGGGUAUUAAAAGUUUUUAAAAAAUAAAUAAAUCAAAGUGUAGUUAACAUCAUGGGUAGUUAACAAAUAGGGUGUUUGAAUUCUACAUUAAAUCACAAUCAAAUAAUGUUAAACAGACAUUUCUAAAAGUCCCGUAAAGCAUGGAAACAAUAUACACUAACUGUUAUAGGGUUGAAUAUUUGUAGCACUAAUAAAGUAGCCUACAGUGAUGACCGAAAUGGUAGCAGUCUGGAAAGACCUAACAGGAGCAGUAACAAAAAUUUUCCAGUUCACUGGAAUUCUGAUGGGCCAUAUGUCACUGUCAUUACUGUAUAUCUCAUUAA